UACAGAGGUCCCGAGCGUUGUUCGGAUUCACUGGGCGUAAAGGGUGCGUAGGUGGCAUGGUAAGUUUGAUGUGAAAGCUCAGGGCUCAACCCUGAAAUGGCAUUGAAUACUACUGUGCUGGAGGUUUGGAGGGGGGACUGGAAUUCUUGGUGUAGCAGUGAAAUGCGUAGAUAUCAAGAGGAACACCAGUGGCGAAGGCGGCUCACUGGACCGGAACUGACGCUGAGGCGCGAAAGCGUGGGGAGCAAACAGG
rnacentral:rRNA from 1 species